rnacentral:rRNA from 1 species
UGGGGAAUAUUGGACAAUGGGCGCAAGCCUGAUCCAGCCAUGCCGCGUGAGUGAUGAAGGCCUUAGGGUUGUAAAGCUCUUUCGCCGGUGAAGAUAAUGACGGUAACCGGAGAAGAAGCCCCGGCUAACUUCGUGCCAGCAGCCGCGGUAAUACGAAGGGGGCUAGCGUUGCUCGGAAUCACUGGGCGUAAAGCGCACGUAGGCGGAUCGUUAAGUCAGGGGUGAAAUCCUGGAGCUCAACUCCAGAACUGCCCUUGAUACUGGCGAUCUCGAGUUCGAGAGAGGUUGGUGGAACUCCGAGUGUAGAGGUGAAAUUCGUAGAUAUUCGGAAGAACACCAGUGGCGAAGGCGGCCAACUGGCUCGAUACUGACGCUGAGGUGCGAAAGCGUGGGGAGCAAAACAGGAUUAGAUACCCUGGUAGUCCACGCCGUAAACGAUGGAUGCUAGCCGUUGGGGGGUUUACCUCUCAGUGGCGCAGCUAACGCCUUAAGCAUCCCGCCUGGGGAGUACGGUCGCAAGAUUAAAAACUUAAAUGAAUUGACGGGGUCAUAGCUGUUUCCU